CUAUGUUCCGUGGUAAAAUGAGCACCAAGGAAGUGGAUGAGCAGAUGUUGAAUGUCCAGAACAAGAACUCCUCAUACUUUGUUGAGUGGAUCCCGAACAAUGUGAAAUCGACCGUUUGUGACAUCCCACCCACUGGGCUGAAGAUGGCAUCAACAUUUAUUGGCAAUUCAACAUCCAUACAGGAGAUGUUCAGGCGUGUGAGUGAGCAGUUCACAGCUAUGUUUAAGAGGAAGGCCUUCUUGCAUUGGUACACAGGGGAAGGCAUGGAUGAGAUGGAGUUCACUGAAGCUGAGAGCAACAUGAAUGAUCUGGUCUCAGAGUAUCAGCAGUACCAAGAUGCAACAGCUGAUGAUGAAGAGUACGAAGAAGAAGAAGAGGAACCCGAAUAUGAGGACUAAGGAGAAGGAAAGUUAUUGCCAUUUUGGCAAUUCAAAAUCUCAACUCCCAGUUGCUGGUGCUUUUUUUUUCCUGUUUUGGAUGUGAAAGAAUUAG
rnacentral:lncRNA from 1 species